rnacentral:rRNA from 1 species
UCGAGAAUCUUUCACAAUGGGGGAAACCCUGAUGGAGUGACGCCGCGUGGAGGUUAAGGUCUUCGGAUUGUAAACUCCUGUCAUGCGAGAACAAAGCCCGCAAGGGUGUGAUAGUACCGCAAGAGGAAGAGACGGCUAACUCUGUGCCAGCAGCCGCGGUAAUACAGAGGUCUCAAGCGUUGUUCGGAAUUACUGGGCGUAAAGGGUGCGCAGGCCGCGCGGGCAGUCAAAUGUGUAAUCCAGGGGCUCAACCCCUGAACUGCGCUUGAUACUUCCGCGCUCGAGCUUUGGAGAGGAGUCUGGAAUUCUCGGUGUAGCAGUGAAAUGCGUGGAUAUCGAGAAGAACACUUAGGGCGAAGGCAAGACUCUGGACAAAUGCUGACGCUCAUGCACGAAGGCUAGGGUAGCGAACGGG